rnacentral:lncRNA from 1 species
CAGCUACCUGUGUGAUUGAGUUCCUCUAUCAUCAGUCCCGACUGAAUUAGGGUUAAGGUGAACUCGGCAAACCCAACAUCAGUCAUAUGAUUUAAUUGAUCGAUCCAAGUCCAAUGUGAAACCCCAAUGAAAAACUCUUUGCCAUUAUUUCACUCUGCCAUGGCCAUGGGCUUAAGGACUCGAUCUUUCGAUCAUCAUAGGACUACUCCUCUUAUCUAUCGAGGUUGAUAGAUCCCAUCUUGGUGCGACCUAGUUCCUACAAUGAAUAUGCUACAGCCAACAUACAACUCA